rnacentral:lncRNA from 1 species
UAGACCUAAGGGGGAACUCACUGUUUUGUUGCAUUGAGUUUACACAGUGUUAACUGACUUCUAAAUAUCUGCGUUUAUACCUUUAAACAAAUGAUUCCCUCAGCCUUAACCCUGGAAGCAUUUCUUGGCAAUGAACCGUGGCGAAUACAGAGACUCAUGGCUGCUCACAAAACACAGCGCAGGGGGAAGACGACACCCAGAGCACCACCCACAGUCAUGCCAGGCACGGUGCAGGCCAGGGAAGACACUCAGAACCUUGCCUGCAUCCAUGCCAUGUGACUCUGGAAGGUGGUGGAGACACCACCACCACCACCACCACCACCACCCUUGCCUGAUACCCUGUCAUGCUGAGCAGGUGGGUGAAGGACACCCAGAGACCCAUCUGCCAACAGGCCACUAGGUGCAGGUAGAGGACAACCAGAGGCCCUCUAGUCACAUGGCCUUCCCACAGCAGGAGCCACUGCAAUGUGCAAGUAUGGUGUGUACAGAUAGGACAGAGAGAGAAGAGGAACAGUUUGAGCAUUAUGAAGAAAGAUGGAACUGGAGAGGCAAGGGUGGAGAGGAAUACCCUGUUGUAAAUAGGCUGCCCCACCAUCUGAGGUCGCUGUGACAUGUCAUGCUGCCUCUGAGGGCCAUGUCUGGGUCCAUGGCCAUUCAGCAGGAGGGGUCUGUGUCGAUGUUAAUUAAUGGCUCAUAUUAUCAACAAAGAGUACACAGAUGUCCUUGGUCUGGGCCACCACCUGUAACCACACUGAUGUCUAAGGGCUGUGGAGAGCUGGCUUUGCCCUUCACUAGCUGAGGAACUCUGGAGAGCUGACCCUCCCUCUCACCGGCUACAACACUCAGGGAGAGUGGACUCUCUGCACCUUGCCUGGAUAGCACAGUAU